rnacentral:rRNA from 1 species
GACGAACGCUGGCGGCGUGCCUAAUACAUGCAAGUUGAGCGCUGAAGGUUGGUACUUGUACCAACUGGAUGAGCAGCGAACGGGUGAGUAACGCGUGGGGAAUCUGCCUUUGAGCGGGGGACAACAUUUGGAAACGAAUGCUAAUACCGCAUAAAAACUUUAAACACAAGUUUUAAGUUUGAAAGAUGCAAUUGCAUCACUCAAAGAUGAUCCCGCGUUGUAUUAGCUAGUUGGUGAGGUAAAGGCUCACCAAGGCGAUGAUACAUAGCCGACCUGAGAGGGUGAUCGGCCACAUUGGGACUGAGACACGGCCCAAACUCCUACGGGAGGCAGCAGGAGGGAAUCUUCGGCAAGGGACGAAAGUCUGACCGAGCAACGCCGCGUGAGUGAAGAAGGUUGUCGGAUCGUAAAACUCUGUUGGUAGAGAAGAACGUUGGUGAGAGUGGAAAGCUCAUCAAGUGACGGUAACUACCCAGAAAGGGACGGCUAACUACGUG